UACGUAGGAUGCAAGCGUUGUCCGGAAUUAUUGGGCGUAAAGGGCGCGUAGGCGGCUUUUCAAGUGACGGGUGAAAUCCCUCGGCUUAACCGAGGAACUGCCUGUCAGACUGGAAGGCUUGAGACCGGGAGAGGUGAGUGGAAUUCCCAGUGUAGCGGUGAAAUGCGUAGAUAUUGGGAGGAACACCAGUGGCGAAGGCGGCUCACUGGACCGGAACUGACGCUGAGGCGCGAAAGCGUGGGGAGCAAACAGG
rnacentral:rRNA from 1 species